rnacentral:misc_RNA from 1 species
GAAAAUAAACAGACAGAGUCUGAUCAUAAAUUAAACUAUCCAACGGAGAACAUUAACUCACUCGACCUAUAAAUAAAUGAAAUCAAUAAAAUAUAGAGAGUUCAGCUCACCUUCACAAAACUCAAGUCAUAUAUAUCCAUAUUUGGGAGCUCAACUCCCUCUAUUCUCAAUAAUAAUAUUUCAUACAUCCAAGCAAUACCACAUAAUUAAUUUUAGAACUUCAAAACUAAGUUAUUACGAAAAAAAAAAUACAACUAUUGAUUCAUGCGGAGUUCUAAAUUUAAAUAAAAG